CACGUAGGGGGCAAGCGUUGUCCGGAUUUAUUGGGCGUAAAGAGCUCGUAGGCGGUUCGGUAAGUCGGGUGUGAAACCUCCAGGCUCAACCUGGAGACGCCACCCGAUACUGCUGUGACUAGAGUCCGGUAGGGGAGCGUGGAAUUCCUGGUGUAGCGGUGAAAUGCGCAGAUAUCAGGAGGAACACCGGUGGCGAAGGCGGGUCUCUGGGCCGAAACUGACGCUGAGGAGCGAAAGCGUGGGGAGCAAACAGG
rnacentral:rRNA from 1 species